rnacentral:tRNA from 1 species
CGUAGUACAGAGGUUAGCAUGCCAGCCUAUGACGCUGAUCGCCUGGGUUCGAAUCCUAGCG